CAUACACAAAAACUGCGCAUGCGCCGUCAGUAUUCCCAUGGUUCUCUCGUGUUCGGGCUCACAGUGAGAAGCUAGCUAGCUGUCAUGUCUGAGAAGAAACAAACUGUAGAUUUGGGCUUGUUGGAGGAAGAUGAUGAAUUUGAGGAGUUUCCAGCAGAAGAUUGGACAGGCCUUGAUGAAGAUGAGGAUGCUCACGUGUGGGAAGAUAACUGGGAUGAUGAUAACGUAGAAGAUGACUUCUCCAAUCAGCUGAGAGCUGAACUUGAGAAGCACGGAUACAAGAUGGAGACGUCGUAACAUUGACUAAUCGCCAGCAUGUCGAUGGUCAAUCGCAACUGAAUAUUGUCACUGUAUGAAUGCUGUUUUGCUUAUUUCCUUUGUAAGAAGUCAGGAGUGAUGUGUGUUAUUAUGAGUCUGAAGAAAAUGGAAUGAUUUUUUUUUCUUUUUCUUUUCCCUAACAAGGAACUGUUUGUAUGUGUUAUUAGUUGCUUUAUUAAAGCUAUUCUCUUCUUA